AACAUAUAUUGUGAUCCUUCCCUCAAAUUUCUUUGCACCACCAGGCCCCGCAUUUGACAUCACCAUCGCCGGCAUCUUGUCCUUCCUCUCUCGGCUGCAAUAUUGCACCUGGUUUACACAAAAGACCAAGUGCAAGAUUGUCCGAAGAGGUGAAGAAAAAAGGAAAACAGAAGAUGGGGAUGCCAACUUGAAAGGAGACAAGAAAAAGGGUGUAUAUAUAGAGGUCUUCG
rnacentral:lncRNA from 1 species